rnacentral:lncRNA from 1 species
AUUGUUACCCCCAAAAGGGAAUCAUUAAAAGCAGCCUGGACCACUCAGUUGAGGAUACAUCAUACUCCGACAACUAAAGAACCUAUCCAAACAGAUUAUUUUGACGUGAUUUGUUCUUCAUGGGACGUCUUUUUGGCUCUCAUUGGUCACUGUAUUCCAUUCUGUUUGGGGCUUGAUGUGUCAGUGGGGUGAAAGAAGAGCUAACUGCAAAGCCUGAGGUCUAUCUAGGCAAGGCAACAUCAGAGGAAAGAAGUCACAAGAUACAGGAAAAAGCUAUUUCCUUUAAAGUAGUUGUCAGUAAAAGAUACCUCCAUGACUACCUGCUCAAUUUCAAAAUAAGUUUCAUCUCAUGAAUUUUUCAGUCAGUUAGGAGCUAUGUCGUUCUUGACAAAGUAUUGCUUAUUUCCCAGAGGAUUGUCUUUAACAAAAGCAGAGCAGUUGUUGGGGUCAGUCAGAAGAACCCAGGCAUGCCAUUGCUGCAGUCUGCCUCUUGCUCUUGUGUGUCUUGUCUCAACAGUGGCUCUGUGGUCUCAUCUGUGAGGACUGAUACCCUAGGAUGCACUUCACUUUGUGCCCAGAGAGCCACUGCCUCUGCAUCUCCACUCCUGAUGUUGCUUAAUCUGUCCUUUUGGCCAGGAGAGCCCGUUUCUCCAAUAAAAUGGGUGGGAGAGACGUGAACAUCAAAAUGUGAGCCCUGCCUUUUCCUGUGGCUUAAAGUUAGUGACCUACGAUGGAACAAGCUUUUUUUUUUUUUUUUUUAAUUUUUUUCAUUAUUCCACACUUAGCUUUUUAUUUUUUUUCCCAUUAGCAUGCAUAGAGCAUUAUGGAUUCUAACUUUAAUUCACAAGAAUUACAAUACUCUUAUAUUACAGGUAGAUAGUAAAACCUAUCUUUGCUAAUCUUUUCAAAUAUAAUUUCAUCAGAUCUCCCUUGUGCAACUUAACUUUUAUAUACCAUCUCAUUUUCAUUUUCUUAUUAUUGAUAUUUAAUACAAAAGAUACAUACGUUAAGAGUAAUCACAGAAGGAGUCGGAAAGAACCUGAAUCAGUACAAACGUACAGCUCAGGGAAGGAAGGAAGGAGUGAGAGAAGCGGACAGAGGGAGGAUAGACAGACAGACAGACGAAUCUGUCUAGGAUGUCUGAGAGGGUUACUAAUAAUUAUCAGUGCAUAACUAGAAUUCUCUUGCCUGUGAAUCAUUGUUCUCCCGUGGGAACAAGCUUCACCCAUUCUUUUUCUGGCCUAUUUUGGAAAAGUUAUUUACCAAUCUGGAAGCACAUUAUUCAGUGCCAUUCAUCCCAUUGCUUAGUGAGGAUCAGACACUAUUUACCAAACCAAGGAAGAACUCAGAGACAGGUAGGAACGAACAGGCGUGAGUGAAUGAUUACAGGGCACUGUGGUGGUGACAGAGGUAGCCACCUAAGAACUGUAGCCCAGUUAUUCUUUACUAAAAUGGUAAAUCCCAAAGAAAACCUGAAUUUUUACAGUAGGUAACUGUUCCCUUGUUGGGCAGAGUUCGAUUUCCUUCCUCCUUACUAUUUUGGAAAGUAUCUAUGGGGGUGUUUUAUCAGGUUUAUUCUCUUAGAGCAGAUGUAGACCUCGGGGUGCUAACAUGGUUCACAUCUUGAAUGUCUGCAAUUUUGUAAUCUGUUUUAGGGAAACUGUGUUCCGUGAGUGCUCAGGUGGUCUCCAUGUCUUCUUGGGUGUAAUUUUUGUGGUCGGCAUGUUCCCCACAGGGCUUUCCCUAACCUGGCCCUAACCGUAACCUGCUCCGAGUCAGCGUUCGGUUUCAUGCUUGUCAGAGCUCUUGUCUGUGAGCCUUUUCUUUCGUCGGCUUCUCUCUCCUUCCAUCAUUGGGCUUUAUGUUGCUAUCCUCUGCUUCAGGUUCCUUCUGAUCCCUGCUGUGAUUCCCUUUUGACAUAUGCAUCUUUUACAUUCAAUGUAUAGUUUGGCUUUUGUUUUCUAGAUGGGUAGUGCUAGGUACCCGGGCUGGCUGAAACUCACGUUGUAGACCAGGCCAGCCUCACAUUUAUGGUGAGCCUGUUGCUUCUGCCUGAGAUGAUAGGUAUGCACACAAUACCCAUCAAUGUGUUCUUUGUUUAUAUACACGUUUGCACAUAGACAUCCUUGAAAAAUGAGUAUCUGGAAACCUUCUUGAACUCAAGAUGAUCUUAUCCGCCUCCAAAUAGGCUUAAUAGAUCCUUGCAGGAACAUUCUAGAACAGGAAAAUGCACACUUUGUAAAGCACACCUGCUUAUGCUUUUGUGAUUGCCUGACUCCUUCUGUUCUUCACAGGAGGCUCGCUCUUUCUUUCCCUGAUCUUCCUUGGGCAGCAGUGAUCCCAUUGUGGGAUGGCAGAAUUACUCACUUCCUUUUUUGUGCCUUAUAGAACCUGUUUGUUUCUACCACAGUAUGUAUUGUUACACGUUCUGCUUAUGUUACAUAUCUGUCUUUCUUGUACUGGAUGUAGCUGCCUAGACCAGCACUGGUUGGUAGUAAAUUUUACAGGAACAAAUGCUUAUUUUGGUUACUGAUGCUGACAUUUUAAAGUUACAUAACCUCCACUUAACUUCACUGGGCUGGAGUAACGAUGGCACAGAACACGGUGAGGGGGGAGUGUCUGAAGUAGUGGUGAAUAUUCCUUGCAAUUCUUGGUUGCUGUCCUUUAUACAGAAUAGCAGAAUGAUGGCUUUUUAAGAAGCAUGUCUGGCUGUGCGUGGUGGCAAACACUCUCAGUCUCAGCACCCCGGAGGCAGAGGUAGAAGGCUCUCUAUGAGGCUAGCUUGAUCUACAUAGAGAAUUCUAAGCCAGCCAGGGCUACAUAAUGAGACCCUGUCUUUAAAAAAAAAUAAUAGCAUUUUUCUAUUAAACAAUACUAAUACAUCAGAUCUUUUAAAGUGUAUAUUUGAAGGUGCGUGUGUUUGGGGCAUAUGAUUAGUACUAAAAUAUCUUAGUGGCUCAUUUCUUUCUUGUUUACGUUGAGGGAAGCUUUUUGGACCCUUAAACCUCCACCUGGCUUUGGAAAGGUUUGCUUGUUUUUGAAAGAGCUGUUUUUUCAUUGCAUAAUAUACAUUGAACUUUGUGUAGGGUCUUCAAGUCUACAGUUAUCUUGAGAUAAGGAAAAGAUGAGUAUUGCUCACACUGUGUGUUAUCUGGAAUAAUCUGGGUGAAU